rnacentral:rRNA from 1 species
CACGUAGGGCGCGAGCGUUGUCCGGAAUUAUUGGGCGUAAAGAGCUCGUAGGCGGCCUGUUGCGUCCGCUGUGAAAGCCCGGGGCUUAACCCCGGGUCGGCAGUGGAUACGGGCAAACUAGAAUUCGGUAGGGGAGACUGGAAUUCCUGGUGUAGCGGUGAAAUGCGCAGAUAUCAGGAGGAACACCGGUGGCGAAGGCGGUUCUCUGGGCCGAUACUGACGUGAGGAGCGAAAGCGUGGGGAGCGAACAGG